rnacentral:rRNA from 1 species
UGGGGGAUAUUGCACAAUGGGGGGAACUCUGAUGCAGCGACGCCGCGUGAGUGAAGAAGUAAUUCGUUAUGUAAAAGCUCUAUCAGCAGGGAAGAAGAAAUGACGGUACCUGAGUAAGAAGCCCCCGGCUAACUACGUGCCAGCAGCCGCGGUAAUACGUAGGGGGCAAGCGUUAUCCGGAUUUACUGGGUGUAAAGGGAGCGUAGACGGCGAUGCAAGCCAGAUGUGAAAGCCCGCGGCUCAACUGCGGGACUGCAUUUGGAACUGUAUGGCUGGAGUGCAGGAGAGGCAGGCGGAAUUCCUAGUGUAGCGGUGAAAUGCGUAGAUAUUGAGGAAGACACCAGUGGGCGAAGGCGGCUUACUGGACGGUAACUGACGUUGAGGCUCGAAAGCGUGGGGAGCAAACAGGAUUAGAUACC